UCCUUCCUGCUUGGGGUUGGGGUGAGGGGAGAAGACUGGAAGGUCUCUCUAGCUCAGCAGUUCUGAGCUGCAGUGGGCUAUCCUGAGCCGGUGUUGGCAUAAAGUUCAGCAUCAAUGUGGUGAACUCCCAAGAACAGAGAAGCCACCAGGUUACUUAAAAGGGGUAAACCAGCCCAGGUUGAAAUGUAGUAGGCCAAAGCUCCCAUGUAGAUCAGUGGUGGGAUCGGGAUCAUGAGUAGCCCCUGCUGUUCCAUCCUGAGUGGGAGAGACCCAGUCUUU
rnacentral:SRP_RNA from 1 species